rnacentral:lncRNA from 1 species
AGGGUUCCAGGAAUAGGAGACCUCCAUGGUGGGAAGACCUGGCAUCCAGCAGCAGGUGUGGCACCAGGAGAAGAAAGCUGAAAGCUCACAUCUUUAACCCAAGCACAAAGCAGAGAGCAAGUCUGUUUUCUCCUUCCAUUCCAAGCUGUGCCUUUAAGGGCUGGAGAGACAAUUCAGCAGUUAAACAUACCAGCUACCUGCAGAGGAUCUGGGUUCAAAUUCAGGCACUGGAGUUCACAACGUUACAUUUGGACCGCUGGAGAUGGCUCAGCUUUUCAGAAUGCACACUACCCACCAUAGGUGGCUCACAACCACCUGUAACUCCAGCUCCAGAAGGAUCAGUGCCUCUGGCUUCCAUCAACACCCACACAACUAUUCACACAUAUACACA